rnacentral:rRNA from 1 species
UACGUAGGCAGCAAGCGUUGUUCGGAAUCACUGGGCGUAAAGGGUGCGUAGGCUGCGGAGUAAGUCGGAUGUGAAAUUUGGGGGCUCAACCUCCAACUUGCAUCUGAUACUGCUUCGCUAGAGACCUGGAGAGGAGUUUGGAAUUCUCGGUGUAGCAGUGAAAUGCGUAGAUUUCGAGAAGAACGCUCGCAGCGAAAGCGAAACUCUGGACAGCGUCUGACGCUGAGGCACGAAGGCUAGGGGAGCAAACGGG